AUUGAACGCUGGCGGCAUGCCUUACACAUGCAAGUCGAACGGUAACGCGGGGGCAACCCUGGCGACGAGUGGCGAACGGGUGAGUAAUACAUCGGAACGUACCCAGUAGUGGGGGAUAGCUCGGCGAAAGCCGGAUUAAUACCGCAUACGACCUAUGGGUGAAAGCGGGGGAUCGCAAGACCUCGCGCUAUUGGAGCGGCCGAUGUCGGAUUAGCUAGUUGGUGAGGUAAAGGCNCACCAAGGCUACGAUCCGUAGCUGGUCUGAGAGGACGACCAGCCACACUGGGACUGAGACACGGCCCAGACUCCUACGGGAGGCAGCAGUGGGGAAUUUUGGACAAUGGGCGAAAGCCUGAUCCAGCCAUGCCCG
rnacentral:rRNA from 1 species